CAACCUGCCCAUCACUUGGGAAUAACCUUGCGAAAGUAAGACUAAUGCCCAAUGAUAUCCCACGAAGGCACCCGAAUGGGAUUAAAGAUUUAUCGGUGAUGGAUGGGGAUGCGUCUGAUUAGCUUGUUGGCGGGGUAACGGCCCACCAAGGCAACGAUCAGUAGGGGUUCUGAGAGGAAGGUCCCCCACAUUGGAACUGAGACACGGUCCAAACUCCUACGGGAGGCAGCAGUGAGGAAUAUUGGUCAAUGGGCGAGAGCCAGAACCAGCCAAGUAGCGUGCAGGAUGACGGCCCUAUGGGUUGUAAACUGCUUUUAUAAGGGAAUAAAGUGGGUCACGUGUGACUUUUUGCAUGUACCUUAUGAAUAAGGACCGGCUAAUUCCGUGCCAGCAGCCGCGGUAAUACGGAAGGUCCGGGCGUUAUCCGGAUUUAUUGGGUUUAAAGGGAGCGUAGGCCGGAGAUUAAGCGUGUUGUGAAAUGUAGAGGCUCAACCUCUGCACUGCAGCGCGAACUGGUCUUCUUGAGUACGCACAACGUGGGCGGAAUUCGUGGUGUAGCGGUGAAAUGCUUAGAUAUCACGAAGAACUCCGAUU
rnacentral:rRNA from 1 species